rnacentral:rRNA from 1 species
GACGAACGCUGGCGGCGUGCCUAAUACAUGCAAGUCGAACGGUUUAGUUCCAAGAGGCAAGACUCUUGGAACUAAGCAGUGGCGGACGGGUGAGUAACACGUAGGCAACCUACCUGUCAAACCGGGAUAACCUCGGGAAACCGAAGCUAAACCCGGAUAAGCUCCUUUUUCGCAUGAAGGGGGAGUGACAAGGUGCGACCUGAUGACAGAUGGGCCUGCGGCGCAUUAGCUAGUAGGUAGGGUAACGGCCUACCUAGGCGAUGAUGCGUAGCCGACCUGAGAGGGCGUACGGCCACACUGGGACUGAGAUACGGCCCAGACUCCUACGGGAGGCAGCAGUAGGGAAUCUGCGGCAAUGGGCGAAAGCCUGACCGAGCAACGCCGCGUGAGUGAGGAAGGCCUUCGGGUUGUAAAACUCUGUUGUUUGGGAAGAAGGGAAAGGGUAGGACCCUUAGGUGACGGUACCAAACGAGAAAGCCCCGGCUAACUACGUG